AUCGAACGCUGGCGGCAGGCCUAAUACAUGCAAGUCGAACGAGUGGCAGACGUGUGAGUCAUGUCUGGGAAACUGCGCUAUGGAGGGGGAUAACUACUGGAACCGGUAGCUAUUACCGCAUACCAUCGGCUGUUCCCUGGUGUUUUUAGCCAGUAGCUGGGGUAACGGCUCACCUAGGCGACGAUCCAUAGCUGUUCUGAGAGGGUGACCAGCCACACUGGAACUGAGACACGGUCCAGACUCCUACGGGAGGCAGCAGUGGGGAAUAUUGCACAAUGGGCGCAAGCCUGACGCAGCCAUGCCGCGUGUAUGAAGAAGGCCUUCGGGUUGUAAAGUACUUUCAGAGAGGAGGCGUUACUCGAAGAGGAAGCAUCGGCUAACUCCGUGCCAGCAGCCGCGGUAAUUC
rnacentral:rRNA from 1 species